rnacentral:rRNA from 1 species
GACGAACGCUGGCGGCGUGCUUAACACAUGCAAGUCGAACGAUGAACCACUUCGGUGGGGAUUAGUGGCGAACGGGUGAGUAACACGUGGGCAAUCUGCCCUUCACUCUGGGACAAGCCCUGGAAACGGGGUCUAAUACCGGAUACCACUCCUGCUCGCAUGGGCGGGGGUUGAAAGCUCCGGCGGUGAAGGAUGAGCCCGCGGCCUAUCAGCUUGUUGGUGAGGUAACGGCUCACCAAGGCGACGACGGGUAGCCGGCCUGAGAGGGCGACCGGCCACACUGGGACUGAGACACGGCCCAGACUCCUACGGGAGGCAGCAGUGGGGAAUAUUGCACAAUGGGCGCAAGCCUGAUGCAGCGACGCCGCGUGAGGGAUGACGGCCUUCGGGUUGUAAACCUCUUUCAGCAGGGAAGAAGCGCAAGUGACGGUACCUGCAGAAGAAGCGCCGGCUAACUACGUGC